AUCCGAUCCUUUCUCCUCUUCAUUCUUCCCGAUGACCUCCCUCAAGAGAUUCGCCGCUCGCCCUCAUUCACCACUCGCCCUUGUUCGCCGCCAACUACCAUGGUCAACGUCUACCGUCAUGAGCUCCGACCGCGAGAUGCUGGUGUUUGGUGUUAUCAGAUGCUGCCCUAAUUUGUCGAUCCUCUCCGUGCCGCCACUGAUCUCCAUGGCUACCAGCACUAAUCAUAGCCACGAUGGGGGAGGGGCCAGUCCCUUCACUCGAUCCAAAGUUAUGCCCUAGCUUUGGGUAACACCGCGUCGCCGCAGCCACUAGCCAGGUGAAAGUUGUCAUCACCUUUCUUUGUUGUGGCCAUGCUCAUCCCAGUGAUCAACGACACCGAGCCCUGAUCCUCUCUAUUGAUUUGCCAUCUCUUCUAUCGAUCGAUCCACAUCUGUAGCCAUGCUCAUCUCCAACUAUGUUGAGUCCUCUUCAUCAGAUCUGAAGUGGAGAGUGUUAUCUUCCUCAUGGCUACAUCCAGAUGUCUUCUCCAAACUACUGUAGAUCUGUAGAUUGGAAUAAGGUGACAGGUACUUGGAUUUUGCAUAUGAUGGUUGAAGAUGGUUGAUAGUAAAUUAGUUGAGUUUUUAUUUUAUAAGACUUUGUUAGCUUUAAAAAUCAAUGAUUUGUUAGUAUUUAGUUAGCAUUGGAUUCAAUACUUUUACAUUAGUAUUGUAUUUGUACUUUUGUGAUGAUGGGAUGAAUUGUGAUGAUAUGGUGAAUGAAUUGGAUAUUUUGGAUGUAAAAUGUUUCUAUUCUUAUUGUGGUGAAUUGUGAUGAUGGUUAAA